rnacentral:rRNA from 1 species
UAUUUUAGUGGUUAUUUCCAGAUAAUUCCAAACCAGAGACUGUUAAAAAAGGGAUUCAGUUAAGAAAAAAAGCAAUUGUGCCGCAGACAUAAAUACUUAAAUGUAUUACAUUUAUAAAUAGAUUUUGUCAUCUUUUAUACGUGGAUUUGACUGUAUAAUGCAACCUGGUGAAACUGGAGAAAAAAAACCAAUAACCGUACCCUAAACCAACACAGGUGGAUAGGUCGAGUAGACUAAGGUGUAUGAGAUAAUUAUGUUGAAGGAACUCGGCAAAAUGACUCUGUAACUUCGGGAGAAAGAGUACCUUUUUUAUUAGUGACUUUUUAAAGAAG